UUAAAAUAUAUCAGAUAUUAGAUUAAGAACAAUUUUAAUGCAUUCCUAAUCAACAGAUCCUCGAAAAACGAGACAGAGCUCAGAGGAACAGAAAUGUUCUAUGAAGAAAUUGACACACCUUACACAUCUGGUACUGGUGACAUACAACCUGUUGUCUGGUAAGCCAGUAAUCUAUGUAUGAAUAUGCUUUGUGCUGUUUUAUCUUUGUGCUGUUUUCAUCUCUUAUUUUUCAUACUUCUGACAGAUUUCAUAUGUCUUUUCUCUUGUCUGUUGCAAUUUCGGCUUACAUAUGAAUGAUUGAUUAGUUUCUCUCUCUCUCUUUUUCUUAUUUACUUUUUCCACACAAAUGCUGUAAAUCAAUGUCCAUAAUGACUCAGGACUGCCUCAGAGUGUGAUGAAAGUUCUUCUGAAAGUGAUGGAGAGUAUAAUGAUGUGGGAUGUGCAGUAUAGCACCUGCAAGCAUUACAGUAUGAUUAAAUUAUACUGUUGCAACUUUGUGAUGUUAUCUAUGCUUUGCUAUUUACAACUGUUGCUUUU
rnacentral:lncRNA from 1 species